rnacentral:rRNA from 1 species
CCUACGGGAGGCAGCAGUGGGGAAUAUUGGACAAUGGGCGAAAGCCUGAUCCAGCAAUGCCGUGUGAGUGAUGAAGGCCUUCGGGUCGUAAAGCUCUUUUACCAGGGAUGAUAAUGACAGUACCUGGAGAAUAAGCUCCGGCUAACUCCGUGCCAGCAGCCGCGGUAAUACGGAGGGAGCUAGCGUUGUUCGGAAUUACUGGGCGUAAAGAGUACGUAGGCGGUUAUUCAAGUCAGAGGUGAAAGCCCGGGGCUCAACCCCGGAACUGCCUUUGAAACUAGAUAACUAGAGUCUUGGAGAGGUUAGUGGAAUUCCGAGUGUAGAGGUGAAAUUCGUAGAUAUUCGGAAGAACACCAGUGGCGAAGGCGACUAACUGGACAAGUACUGACGCUGAGGUACGAAAGCGUGGGGAGCAAACAGGAUUAGAUACCCUGGUAGUCCACGCCGUAAACGAUGAUAACUAGUUGUUCGGUCACUUGGUGACUGAGUGACGCAGCUAACGCAUUAAGUUAUCCGCCUGGGGAGUACGGUCGCAAGAUUAAAACUCAAAUGAAUUGACGG